CGUGCUUGUUUUGGCAAUGAUAGUCAAAAUGUGGAAUGAUACACAGAAGAUUAGCAUGGGCAAAGCACAAGGAUGACACUCAAAUUUGUGAAGCCUUCCAUAUCUGG
rnacentral:snRNA from 1 species